GACGAACGCUGGCGGCGUGCUUAACACAUGCAAGUCGAACGGAAAGGCCCUGCUUUUGUGGGGUGCUCGAGUGGCGAACGGGUGAGUAACACGUGAGUAACCUGCCCUUGACUUUGGGAUAACUUCAGGAAACUGGGGCUAAUACCGGAUAAGAGCUCCUGCUGCAUGGUGGGGGUUGGAAAGUUUCGGCGGUUGGGGAUGGACUCGCGGCUUAUCAGCUUGUUGGUGGGGUAGUGGCUUACCAAGGCUUUGACGGGUAGCCGGCCUGAGAGGGUGACCGGCCACAUUGGGACUGAGCUACGGCCCAGACUCCUACGGGAGGUAGCAGUGGGGAAUAUUGCACAAUGGGCGGAAGCCUGAUGCAGCAACGCCGCGUGCGGGAUGACGGCCUUCGGGUUGUAAACCGCUUUCGCCUGUGACGAAGCGUGAGUGACGGUAAUGGGUAAAGAAGCACCGGCUAACUACGUG
rnacentral:rRNA from 1 species